AAACCCUUGACUAGGGUAGUUCUAGGUCAACAACUACUUGUACUUAAAAAAAAAUGCGUUUAGACAUCGCAUUAUAGUUACUCUCCAAAUCACGGUAGUUACUCUCCCUCUCUCUCCGUUUCUGAAAAUCCAAAGCACGUCAUUGCAAAUGUAGCAGAAAAGAUCAUCAGCCGGUUGCAUCUGCAUAUUGUGAGAAAGAUUCCUGUACCAAAUCCUUUUAAUCAUGGGCCAGUGCCUAGAACAAAAAAUUACGGGUGUGCAUUAAACCGAUCGAACCAUAUGUAAGUUGGUUUACUCGAUGAAGUUCUUAUGUUUCGAUAAAUUUUUUUUUUUUGAUAGAAUUGAAACGUGGGAGAAGAGUAGAUGUUUUGAAAUAUAUAACUUUUCAAAUGUUGCUUUUUUUGUUGAUGUGUUGGAAAAUGGUUAAACCAGCUCAAUCCAAAUUUCAUUUUUACCUAAUCCUUUUGAGUUUUUCUUUCUUGUUUUGUAGCUUGUGUUGCAGGUUCUUACCUUUUAAAUUUUAUUUUAGAGGGAUUUGGUCCUAUGUCCGUCCCUCUCUUUUUCUUGUAUUUUCUUUUUUAAGAGGGGUAAAAUUUAUGUCUUUCCCGUCUUUUUUUCUUGUAUUUUCUUUUUCAAAAGAGAUAAGGUGUAUAUCCUUUCCUCUUUUCUUGUAUUUUGUUGUUCUUACUUUAUGAUGAAUAAGGUUUAUGUC